rnacentral:rRNA from 1 species
CGCAAUGGACGAAAGUCUGACGCAGCAACGCCGCGUGGGUGAUGAAGCAUCUUGGUGUGUAAAACCCUGUCAGUGGGGAAGAAACGUAUUGGGAGUAACUGCCCUUUACCUGACGGUACCCACAGAGGAAGUCCCGGCUAACUCCAUGCCAGCAGCCGCGGUAAUACGGGGGGGACAAGCGUUGUUCGGAUUCACUGGGCGUAAAGGGCGCGUAGGCGGACUUUCAAGUCGGGUGUGAAAUCUGGCGGCUCAACUGCCAGCCUGCACUCGAUACUGUUGGUCUUGAGUGCAUGAGAGGAAAGCGGAAUUCCAGGUGUAGCGGUGAAAUGCGUAGAUAUCUGGAAGAACACCAGUAGCGAAGGCGGCUUUCUGGCGUGUUACUGACGCUGAAGCGCGACGGCUAGGGGAGCAAACAGGAUUAGAUACCCUGGUAGUCCUAGCGGUAAACGAUGAAC